GAGACAAAAGAAAAGGGGAAGCGGCAGUGAGAGAAAAGAGGAAAAGCAGCCAAGACCUAGCCGCCUCCUCUCCUGCCGCCGCCGUCUCGGCCUCGUUCGCCUCCUCUCCUGUUGUCGCCACCGCCUCGGCCUCGGCCGGCCCGUGCUCUCUCGGCGCCCGUCGGCCUCGAUCCGGCCUUAGCAGGAGGAGCUCGUCCUCGAGACUCGGCAGGAGGAGCUCACCCUCGAGUAGGACUCAACAGGAGGAGGGGGGCAGCAGCCGCGCCCCAUGCUCUCUCGUCGCCCUUGAGGUGAAGGUAAUGGAUGAAAUCCCAUGGACGAGCUCGAGCUGGAAGGACGCGGACGGCAGCGGCUUGGACCAACAUCGUCCUGGCGGUGCCUUGCCAGUGAGCGCCACACGUGGUGCAGCAGGCGGCAAGCACGGCUUUGGGAGCUGCGCAUCAAGCGACGACGACCGCAUCUGCUGCCUCCCCUGGCACCGAUUUGUUCGUGAGGUGUUCCAUGCUGAGCCAAGAUGUAGAGCGGUGGUCGACGCGGCAGCCUGCUCCCAAGUUGCAAGUGAUGUUACCAGAUAGCAGUAUACCAAGGGUUAUAAGAAUCUGAUUCAUAAAAUGCAGCCAAGAUGCAGAGUAGUGGUCGAUGGUGGCGGCCUACUCCCAAGUUGCGGGUUGCUAAUGCUGUUCAAGCAGGUGCUUGCAUGGACAUCUUCAUGAUUACUGAUUGUAAAUGAACACACGUAUCUUCUCUCGAAGUUCUGAGUGUUGAGAGUGGUUUCUCAUUGUUUCUAUAUUCAAAUACUGAUGAAUCAGCACCUCCAAAAGAUAUACUGAUGGCCAAAGAAGAUUGGGGAAGUUCCACUAUGUUCCUACAGACUGUUGGCCAAAAAAGAUUGGGGGAAAAUAGCUCUGGAGAAGGAUUGAGAUGAAAAUGGGAUUGGGAUCUCACUUCGCAAUGCAUUGAAGAAUCAUGGUAGAACUGUUUAUAUUGCUGACUAAGAUGGCGAUUAGGAUUUAUUGCUUUUUAUUAAUUUUUAUUUUUUUCUACUUUGCUCAGAUAAUUUAUACAGGCUGUUCUUUCUUUAGGAAUAACUUGGUUACACAAUAUACUUGAAGAUUGCAGUAGGAACAAAAUGCUUAGCAGACCAAACUAAUUAGGUAAGCUGAGAACUGAUUGGUCUAACCCUAGAAUAAUUGGUUGCCAGUCAUAGAAUCAUCUUGUACUGUUGUACAUAACUAAUUUUGACUUGAACUUUGGUGUGGUCGUGUAUCUUUGAAGUUUUCUGAAGACAGACUACUCUUGCAUCAUUAUGUGCAACCCACAGGGAUCUCACUCGGUGAGACAUGCACACCUAUGCCACAUCUUCACAUGUAAGUUUGUUUUGCUUAGCCAUGGAUAGUGAGGUCCCCCUUUUUACCAGUUCAUUUAGUUAUUUAAUAUCAAUAUCUUUACUCUAGGAUUUAUAUCCUUGCCAACUCUACAAUUGUCCAUUGCACACUCAAGAGUCUAGAUAUUAAAUUAACUACUUUUGUGAUCCCUGGACUAUACGAGUCAAUAGAGCUGAUGUUCCUCAGUAUUUCUGGAUUGCCCAUUUUUCAGCUGAGUUAAGGCUUUUCCUAUUGUCUGCAAAUGAAAAUUAUUUUUUGUACCCCUGGUAAUGAUAAAAGAAGAGUUUGCCCUUUCCCUUUGUAAAAUUUUCCGCACACGAUGUUGUCGAGGAUGAUUUCAGAAUUUAUAUGCUCAUUGUUUCCAUUACAUCUUUCCCCAUUAACUGAUAUUAGACAGUGGUCUAUUAAUGUUGCACCUGACUCUGUUUUCCAAGGAAAUACGAAUGAAGUUAUAGUACUUGCAAACUGCGACUCCUCUUCGCUGAACAAGAAAAGUAAAAAUGAUAACAUAUCAGGCAGUAAAAUUACAUGGCUGAUCUCUGUUUUGUGCAUGUUAGGUGAGCAUUAUGAAUUGUUCUACUUCCCUUAAGAGAGUGUACUUUCCUCUAAUCAGAUGCUCACUUAUAUUUCUGGAAUAAACAAAUCUUUUGGGAUGUAACCUGUUCUUAGUUUUGAUGCCUUACCGUCUGCCUUCUCCUCUCCUUUAUGUUGUUUUUUCUAAAUUAUUUGUCUAGGCUACUACCAUAACUUGUUGGUUUAGUUUAGGGUGUGUAGGAAGAAUUUGCAGAUGAAUCAUGCUAUAUGGUUUAGGCAUGCACAUGGCCACUAAUAAUCACAAAAAAUUGAUAUUUGAUGAAGCCAUCAUCAUGUCAUGUAAUUACUUGCAGAACAACUAUAUUGUUUUUUGGGGCGGUAAAGAUAGGACUCUGUAACUCAUGUGAGUGUUGUUUGAUUAUGUACUUUUUCAAGCGUGUGGAUGUCGUUGGCAUGUUUAGUAUACGCACGAAGAUAUGCAAAGUGUAAAAUGGUUUCCUGGGAACGUCAGAUUUUUGCUCCUGGGAACAAACAAACUGUUCGUCAGGGAGUGAUCACCCCACCGAACGUUUUUGCUGGAUCUGGGGGAGGAGCUGGAGCGAACGAUUCGCCCCAGGCCCCCAUGCAAACAGUUGCCCCUGCAGGCAAAAACAAAACCCUGACCGGGCCUUUACAACCUCCAAUUAGGCCAAAAAAUGGCCCAGUUUUUUGUGACGCCUCAACACUUGGGUCAUCACUCGAGGUUAUCGCUUUUGAGUUUUAGGUGAUAUUUUUUAAUUGAUUUUUGGGAAAUCAUGAUGCUAAAUAUAUGAAAUGUGUUAGUUAGCUAAUCUAUUGGCUCUUUGGUGUGUAUGAUGACAUGAUGGCAAUGAAAAUACAUUUUCAAACUGAUAGUCUUGUAGUUUAAUUUUGACAGAGUAUAGGACCAUACUCAAUAUCUUCCGCUUUGUGUAUGAUGGCGGCUUUUCUUGCUUAUAGUAAUCAGCUAAAUAAAUAUGUGGGCAUUUGAAAAUAUCUUUGCAAUUAGGCCAGGCGCGAGAAAAAAUUCAAAGACGAUGAUCUCUUUUGGUGUAUUUCCGUUCUCUCUGUUCCAAAUCUUCUUGUUUGGAUGCCACUGGCACACCACAUGCUGUUCUGAAGAUAUCAUGCUAUGGGACUUUUCAGCAGAAUCAAAACAAAAGGAAGCUAUGGUGUUACUUGCAUCUCGGUUUUCACAUUCUUCCCAGGUUUUACAAAAACAUAAACAUGAUUGGAUGGGCGUCCUUGCCGGCGACCUUGCUAUCUCCAACCCAUCCACAGAAAAUACCAAAGGAAGUAGCUUGUCGUUUGAAUAUCCCAAGCAUGGACUGGUGGGACUACAGUUUGGCAAACAACGCUUCACUAGCUAGGACAGAGUAUGACGAACAAUCACAUGACAUCUGCAUCUUGAUCAACAUGGAUACAAGAAAUUUCUCCUAAAAAUGGGACUUGAGGUUGCUUGGUGUCCUCUCAUCGUGUCUAUUGGUGCAGUAUCACAUAUCCUCUCUCGAAGAGAUGAGAUAAGGAUUACAUGGCUACCAACAACCCACCUCACCUAUAAUGGAAGACAUCCUGAUUCAUUGUUGCAAGCUAGAGAACAAUAACUAUCAUGUUGGUGAUUUCCUUGAUAUAUGGUUCUACAAGUGUGUCAUAUGGACCAAUGAAAGCAAAGAUAUUCCGGAGAUAAUAACUAUAUGGGCUACUCCAAAUGGUCUGAGAGUGGAACCAACACCUUUUAUAGGCCUUCAAGUACCUGUGUGGAAGUCUAUCAUGCAAGCAUUAUCCGACGACUGACACUCUGCUUUUUCGUACAUAUCCUCUGAAGACCAUGAUCAGACUAAGAAGAUGCCUAAAUAUGUUGUGAGGCUGCCUAUAUAUAAGUGUAUUUCUGUAAAUUGAUAUCAUUCGUUCUACUAUCUGUAAACCAAUUUAAGUCAUUCUACUAUCUGCAAUACAAUCUCCAUUACUUUA